UCCGAGUGGUUUCUGCUAAAGAAACCUUUUGUUAGUCCUAGAAACACUAACGAAUAAGGGGUGGGCAAGUUCUGGUGUCAGCCGCCGCGGUAAAACCAGCACCUCAAGUGGUCAGGAUGAUUAUUGGGCCUAAAGCAUCCGUAGCUCGUUUUGUAAGUUUUCGGUUAAAUCCAUGCGCUUAACGUAUGGGCUGCCGGGAAUACUGCAUAGCUAGGAAGUGGGAGAGGUAGACGGUACUCGGGAGGAAGGGGUAAAAUCCUUUGAUCUCUUGAUGACCACCUGUGGCGAAGGCGGUCUACCAGAACACGUUCGACGGUGAGGGAUGAAAGCUGGGGGAGCAAACCGGAUUAGAUACCCGGGUAGUCCCAGCUGUAAACUAUGCAAACUCAGUGAUGCAUUGGCUUGUGGCCAAUGCAGUGCUGCAGGGAAGCCGUUAAGUUUGCCGCCUGGGAAGUACGUACGCAAGUAUGAAACUUAAAGGAAUUGGCGGGGGAGCACCACAAGGGGUGAAGCCUGCGGUUCAAUUGGAGUCAACGCCAGAAAUCUUACCCGGAGAGACAGCAGAAUGAAGGUCAAGCUGAAGACUUUACCAGACAAGCUGAGGGGUGGUGCAUGGCCGUCGCCAGCUCGUGCCGUGAGAUGUCCUGUUAAGUCAGGUAACGAGCGAGAUCCCUGC
rnacentral:rRNA from 1 species